AACGCGAAGAACCUUACCUGGGCUUGACAUCUAUGGAACCCUGCGGAAACGUGGGGGUGCCUUCGGGAGCCAUAAGACAGGUGGUGCACGGUUGUCGUCAGCUCGUGUCGUGAGAUGUUGGGUUAAGUCCCGCAACGAGCGCAACCCUCGUGGUCUGUUGUUACAGGUCGUAAGAUGCUGAACCCUCAGGCCAGACUGCCGGUGACAAACCGGAGGAAGGUGGGGAUGACGUCAAAUCAUCACGCCCCUUAUGUCCAGGGCUACACACGUGUUACAAUGGGGAGGACAACGGGUCGCUUGGCAGCAAUGUCUGGCAAAUCCCUUAAAACCUACCCUCAGUUCGGAUCGGAGUCUGCAACUCGACUCCGUGAAGUCGGAAUCGCUAGUAAACGCAGAUCAGCACGCUGCGUUGAAUACGUUCCCGGGCCUUGUACACACCGAGUAUA
rnacentral:rRNA from 1 species